rnacentral:rRNA from 1 species
AGAGUUUGAUCCUGGCUCAGGACGAACGCUGGCGGCGUGCUUAACACAUGCAAGUCGAGCGAUGAAGCUUCCUUCGGGAAGUGGAUUAGCGGCGGACGGGUGAGUAACACGUGGGUAACCUGCCUCAAAGUGGGGGAUAGCCUUCCGAAAGGAAGAUUAAUACCGCAUAAUAUAAGAGAAUCGCAUGAUUUUUUUAUCAAAGAUUUAUUGCUUUGAGAUGGACCCGCGGCGCAUUAGCUAGUUGGUAAGGUAACGGCUUACCAAGGCAACGAUGCGUAGCCGACCUGAGAGGGUGAUCGGCCACAUUGGAACUGAGACACGGUCCAGACUCCUACGGGAGGCAGCAGUGGGGAAUAUUGCGCAAUGGGGGAAACCCUGACGCAGCAACGCCGCGUGGGUGAUGAAGGUCUUCGGAUUGUAAAGCCCUGUUUUCUAGGACGAUAAUGACGGUACUAGAGGAGGAAGCCACGGCUAACUACGUGCCAGCAGCCGCGGUAAUACGUAGGUGGCGAGCGUUGUCCGGAUUUACUGGGCGUAAAGGGUGCGUAGGCGGAUGUUUAAGUGGGAUGUGAAAUCCCCGGGCUUAACCUGGGGGCUGCAUUCCAAACUGGAUAUCUAGAGUGCAGGAGAGGAAAGCGGAAUUCCUAGUGUAGCGGUGAAAUGCGUAGAGAUUAGGAAGAACACCAGUGGCGAAGGCGGCUUUCUGGACUGUAACUGACGCUGAGGCACGAAAGCGUGGGUAGCAAACAGGAUUAGAUACCCUGGUAGUCCACGCCGUAAACGAUGGAUACUAGGUGUAGGGGGUAUCAACU